rnacentral:rRNA from 1 species
AGGGUUUGAUCCUGGCUCAGAACGAUCGCUGGCGGCGUGGUUUAGGCAUGCAAGUCGAGCGAGAAAGUGGUCUUCGGACCGCGAGUAAAGCGGCGAAAGGGUGAGUAAUGCAUAGAUAACCUGCCUUAUGCUCGGGGACAACGGUUGGAAACGACCGCUAAUACCCGAUAAUGCCGCGGUUCGCAUGGACCGUGGCCAAAGUUGGGGCUCCUUCGGGAACCUUUCGGCAUAAGAGGGGUCUGUGUCCUAUCAGCUUGUUGGUGAGGUAACGGCUCACCAAGGCUACGACGGGUAGGAGGCCUGAGAGGGUGUUCUCCCACACUGGGACUGAGACACUGCCCAGACUCCUACGGGAGGCUGCAGUCGAGAAUCAUUCGCAAUGGGCGAAAGCCUGACGAUGCGACGCCGCGUGGAGGAGGAAGGCCCUCGGGUUGUAAACUCCUGUCAGAGAUUAGGAAAUGCGUAUGGGUUAAUACCCCAUAUGUUUGACAAAGGUCUCAGAGGAAGGUCCGGCUAAAUCCGUGCCAGCAGCCGCGGUAAUACGGAUGGAUCAAGCGUUGUUCGGAAUCACUGGGCAUAAAGCGCAUGUAGGCGGCUUCGCAAGUCAGGUGUGAAAGCCCACGGCUCAACCGUGGAAUUGCACUUGAUACUGCGGGGCUUGAGUAAAGAAGGGGAGUGUGGAACUGCUGGUGGAGCGGUAAAAUGCGUAGAUAUCAGCAGGAACGCCGGUGGAGAAGUCGACACUCUGGUCUUUUACUGACGCUGAGAUGCGAAAGCUAGGGGAGCGAACGGGAUUAGAUACCCCGGUAGUCCUAGCCGUAAACGAUGGGCACUAGGUAGAGGGAGCUCCGACGCCUUCUCUGCCGAAGCUAAUGUGAUAAGUGCCCCGCCUGGGGAGUACGGCCGCAAGGCUAAAACUCAAAGGAAUUGACGGGGGCUCGCACAAGCGGUGGAGUAUGUGGAUUAAUUCGAACCAACGCGUAGAACCUUACCAGGGUUUGACAUGCUUGAAGUAGGCGCCCGAAAGGGUUGCCCACCGGUAUCCAAUCCGGAACUUGCACAGGUGUUGCAUGGCUGUCGUCAGCUCGUGUCGUGAGAUGUUGGGUUAAGUCCCCUAACGAGCGAAACCCUUAUCCCUAGUUGCCAGCGGUUCGGCCGGGCACUCUGUGGAGACUGCCGGUGUUAAACCGGAGGAAGGCGGGGACGACGUCAAGUCAUCAUGGCCCUUAUGCCCUGGGCGUCACACGUACUACAAUGGCAGGUACAGAGGGUCGCGAAGCCGCGAGGUGGAGCCAAUCCCAGAAAGCCUGUCUCAGUCCGGAUCGCAGGCUGCAACCCGCCUGCGUCAAGUCGGAAUCGCUAGUAAUCGCGGUUCAGCCAUGCCGCGGUGAAUGUGUACCCGAGCCUUGUACACACCGCCCGUCAAGCCACGGGAGCCGGGAGCGCCUGAAGUCGGUCGCCUAACCCCUCGGGGAGGGAGCCGCCGACGGCGAGCAUGGUAACUGGGAC